GGGAGGAAGGUAGUGUAGUUAACACCUGCAUUAUUUGACGUUACCUACAGAAGAAGCACCGGCUAACUCCGUGCCAGCAGCCGCGGUAAUACGGAGGGUGCGAGCGUUAAUCGGAAUUACUGGGCGUAAAGCGCAUGCAGGCGGCCUGUUAAGUCAGAUGUGAAAGACCCGGGGCGUUAACCUCGGAAUUGCAUUUGAAACUGGCAGGCUAGAGUCUUGUAGAGGGGGGUAGGAAUUUCAGGUGUAGCGGUGAAAUGCGUAGAGAUCUGAAGGAAUACCAGUGGCGAAGGCGGCCCCCCUGGACAAAGACUGACGCUCAGAUGCGAAAGCGUGGGGAGCAAACAGGAUUAGAUACCCUGGUAG
rnacentral:rRNA from 1 species